UGCUGAGAAAGUGAGAGACCACAAGGAUUUAGAAUCAAGAUGGGCUGUUUUACAAGAGACACGUGUUGAGUAUUUUAGAGGCAAGGAUUUUGUUAGUUUUUUGAGAAAUCAUCCAGAGCUCAAGGAUAUUCUUGAUUCAGAUAAAAAUUUGGAAACUGAAGAUAUUGGCAAUGCAUUGCUAAGUAAGAAUCUCUUAGUUCGGUGUGAUCGUGUAGUGAAAACUGUUCGUCCUGGAAAGAGAAAAUUGUCUACAUGGCCAGCACAUCUGGAGAUAUUCCCG
rnacentral:misc_RNA from 1 species